GACGAAGGGGGCUAGCGUUGUUCGGAAUUACUGGGCGUAAAGCGCGUGUAGGCGGUUGUUCAAGUCAGGUGUGAAAGCCUCGAGCUCAACUCAAGAAAUGCACUUGAUACUGGAUGACUAGAGGACCGGAGAGGAUAGUGGAAUUCCCAGUGUAGUGGUGAAAUACGUAGAGAUUGGGAAGAACACCAGUGGCGAAGGCGGCUAUCUGGACGGUUUCUGACGCUAAGACGCGAAAGCGUGGGGAGCAAACAGG
rnacentral:rRNA from 1 species